UAAUUAUAAAUUAUUUUCCUUUUGGUGCCCUUUCUGAGAGUACUAAGGUCUAACUUGUUCUUAAAACAUUUAAUUAUUCUACAGAAAGCUAUAUAUAUAGCAAAAUACUAUUUAUGGUAUAUAUUUGUGCUGUAUUCAUGGCAAGGACCAAGAGUUUUCAGAAUCACUACAUAAAAACUAAAGGAUAAUGAUUUGGUGUUUGUUCUUUUUUUAUAGAUACUUACAAAGUUCUAUCAGAAAAGAGCCACUUUCAAGCUGCACUGAUAACCUGGUCCUGACUUCCCGGGAGGAGAAGUAUUCCUGUUGCCUGUUGCUCUCUUCAUCUCAGAGAAGCUCCUGCUAUUUCCCCAACUCUCAGUAUAUGAGCACAGUCUCCACUUGAGAACUUCUCAGAAUAACUACCUCCUCAUUUGGUUGUCUGACCAGAGAAAUGCACCUCUUGCUAAUUCCCCAGUAGUUUUCUGCCCUGGGCUCUCCCCAACAAAAACAAACAACUCUACCACCCAGGUUUUUAUCCAAUAAGCAACUCAUGCUCUGAAACAGAACCAAACUGUAGACAUGAAAUUCUGUUAAAAAGUUUCUUGGGCUCUAAAGCAGCAACUGCUGGUGAUCCAUCUUUUCCUUUUUAUUUUUGAAUGUGGGACCUAUGUUAGAUUUUGGAGAAAUGUUCGUAAAGUACUGUUUUGCCAAGAAUAUAAUUAUGUUACUGAUAGGUUGGUUUGUAGUGUUGUCAGCUAUAUUCUACAAACUGGCAUCUGCUCUGUGUUCGUAAAUACAAAAGUGAAGCCAGGCAUGGUGGCACAUGCCUAUGAUCUAAACCAUUUGGGAGGCUGAGGCAGGAGGAUAAGUUCAAAGGCAUCCUGGGCAAUUUGGUGAGACUCUGUCUCAAAAAUGAAUAAAGGAAUAAAUUGGCUGGGUUAGUUUAGUGCUCCUGAGUUCAGUCCCCAGUACUGAAAAGAAAAUGGUAAAUACAAAGGUGAACACGGACUUUUGAGUCUAUCCUGGUCGUCUCGACUUUUAUGAAAUUAAAUCCAACUUUGACAACAAAGUGCCUUUUUCGUAGAAGUGGUUUAUAGACUUCCUUUAUAGUCCUUAAGUAGAAUAGAGGUCUCAGCCAUUAUGUAUGAAAAUAUACCUGUCUAUCUUUGAGGGAAAGAUACACCUAUAUAAUAGCAGAUCCCGUUUCUUACACAUAUGAAGAUUGUUUCCUAGAGGCGUUUCUGGGCUUUCCCCAAAAAAAGAUGAAACUGGAAACAAUUAAAAAUAAUUUCACUCAAUUUUUAUCUAAUCUCUCCUUUUUUAUGGGUUACUGCCUACAAAUAUAUAAUUUAUUUCUUCUAGCAUAUUGAUAAAUUUGGGUCAUACCAGAAAACUUAGAUUUGCAUUUAUUCCAAUAUUGCAAAAGUUGGUGAUUUUGGCUUAUUUUAUAUCUCUGGUGAUUUUUCAAACCUCAAAUAUAUUAACAGGCAGAUUAUAUUUUCACUAUGUGUAUAUUCUUUAUGAUGUAUAUAACUGCCCUCAGUCCCCUUCUCCGUUCACUCUCAGCCCCUCACCCCACAGCAACAAGAGCUUGAUUAAUUGUUUUAGUUGAGUAAAGCAUGGUGCUAAUGGACCAGGGUCACAGUUUCAAAACUUGAACAAGCCAGCUAGCAUCAUUUGAUCAUAACUCCAGUUUUGCUAGAUGCCUGCUGUUAGCUCUGCAAGGAAAAAAGAGGUCAGUUAGCAUGAGUGGUUUAUUGGGACUGGAAAAGCUUGGUAUCUCUAAGGAGGCUCAGAUCAGAAGACUAUAAAUAAAGUAUUUAGAAAACCUCCCCCCCUUUUAGCCAUAUAGAAACUAAGCCAAUAUGUUUUCUCAUUCUUUUGAGAAUAAGGAUGCUUAGAUUUUUUUUUUAAGUUUUAGUUUUUGUUUGGGGGCUGUUUUUUGUGUUUGUGUGUGGCUGUGGUUUUUGUUUUUGUUUUGUUUUUCAAAACUAGGGAUUGAACUCAGGGCCUCUGCACUGAACUACAUCCCCAGCCCUUUUAUAUUUUGAGAUGGGUUCUCACUGAAUUGCCCAAGGUGGGCUCAAACUUGCGAUCCUCCUGCCUCAGCCUCUGAGAGUGCUGAGGUGACAAGCGUGCUCCACCAUGCCUGACUCUCAGAUCAAAUUUUUAAAUUUUCUUUAUGUAUAAUGCUUUUUAAGGGGUUAAAACAGUUGCUCAUAAAUUAGCCUGCAUUUCAGAAAACAAAAACUGUUAAGUUUGUUCAAAACAAGAAAUAGCCUUUGAAUUGAAAUUGCUAUUUGAGAAAAGAAUAAAAUAAUAUAAUUAACUUGUUAGUUAUGAGGGUAUGGAGGCUUGGUAUUUUCGUUUGCAAAUAUUACCCUGGUAAUUUUUUUCCCCUUUUUGUCGGUACUGGGGAUCUAACCCAGGACCUUACACAUGAUAAACGAUUAGUCUGCCCAUGAGCCUUCUACCCAUGAGCUGCAUGCCCAGCCCUGGUAAUUCUAAUGAAAAAUAGAUAACUUGAUGACAGACUUAAUUUUAAAAUGGUGACUUUCUGUUCUUAUAUCUAAAUAUUUAGAGGUCCUUUAUCUCCUAAUAUGAAUUUUCAUUUAUUAACCAAAUUCCACAUUGCCUUGAAAUUAAUUCAGAAGAGGGGAAGAAACAUGUCCUGUGCCCAGAAAACAAGAAAUCUAGAGAGUUGUGCUCCUAAAUACUAAUCCCGGGAGCAUUCACUGUCUGUCUGUCAUGUGUAAAUUAAAACUCUUGCUAGGCCCGGGGAUUUAGCUCAGUGAUUCCAGCACCUCCCUCCCAAGCGGAAGGUCCCGAGUUUGAUCCCCGGUACCAAAAAAACAAAACAAAACAAAACAACUCUGCUGCUUUGUUUCUGCCCCUUUUCAGGUAUUGUUUGAUUGUUUUCCUGAGGUUUAUCACCUCAGUCAAGUUCUAAGUUUCUGGGAGACUGGUUUUAAGUGUCUUUCGUCACUACCAGUCUAACUUUUUCUAAAAAUUCUACUAAAUUCAACACCAAAUUAGGGAGAAAGACAGUUACUCCUUAGGCUCUUGUACCGUUACGCCUUGUAUGUUGUGUAUCUAUACUAUAGUUUUCUCAAGUAAUGUUCUAAGCACAGAAGUAUCCAAAUGGGGCCAGAAUUUAAACUUGAAAAUGGUCUUUUAAUAGCUUCUUUAAAGUUACACUUAGGUGUGAAUUUUGGCACAACAGAGUGACAAACUUAGUGUUAAAAGCAGAGUAAGUUAAGUAGGUGUGGUAUAAAAUGUAGUUUGUAGAGUAUGUUUGCCAUUGCUGAAAAUCUAGUUUACCUCAGAAUCUCCACUUUCCCCAGUAUAAGUGCCUGGCCAGCUGUCAGAAAUUACAUAAUUCCUUUAUGACUUAGUUGUGUGUGUGUGUGUUUUUUAUAAGGUUGCACAUUGGAGAGUGUGAAAAUAAGAUGUUCUGUCUGAAGGCUGCCAUGCCUAAUCCAAAUCUGUUCAAUACUGUAUUUGCUCCAGUCGCUUGCUGUAGAAUAUUAACUUGGUAACAGACAGUUGGUUCUGUGGGCAUGUAGUAAAUCAAAUUAAUCUAUUUGAGUGGGUCCCUUGUCUAACCUUUCAUUAUCUUUUAAACUGCUGUGAAUUUUUGUCAUGACUUGAAAACAAAGAUAGACAAAAACCUUAAAAGAGAUUUGGUUUUUUUCCCCCAUGCCAGAAUUUGUGAGCAUAAUCAUAUUUUGCUUUGUAUUUACAGUCAUGAACAUUUAAGCUGGCAGCUACCAAGAACCAAAAAGUGGUGCAUUCUGGUUCUUGUAAUUCAUCUCUGCUAAUACAUUAUAAAAAGCAAAGAUAAUUGGGAAAAUAUUUUAUUUGAAUGGUUUCUAGAAACAAAGGACUAUAAUACUUGUACAUUAUUUUUCAUGUUUGCUGUUUCUUUACAGUCUAAUGUGCCACAAAAUUAUUUUUAAGGUAUUUGUUUUCUUUAAGAAUUGUUUUAAAAGUCUGCUCAUCAGAUCAGUUUUAGAUGUGUUUCAAAAUAUAACUGAUUUUUAAAAGUCCAAGUACUGACUGAGAAGCAAGUGUUUGAACUCUACUGUGGAGAGAAAAGAGGGCAUUGCAUGACUUCUAUAUUUCUGUGCCAUCCAGUAUACUUAAAAAUAUCAGUUGUGCAGUUCUGCUGUUUAAAUGGGAACUGUUAGCCUCCUUGGCCCUAGAUGAAAGGGCUGAUAUUUUAAGUUGAUUAUUUUAAUGUAAAUUAAUCCAUCCUAAUUUUUUAAAAUUUGGUUGAAUGUUUUUCUUGUUAAAUAAUGUUUAAAAAUAAAAACUGGAAGUACUUUA
ensembl:lncRNA